CCUGGCGAUUGCAACCUCAUGGUCCACUCAGUAAGGGCUGUGGGGAGGCUUGCAGGCUGGGACAGACCGACCCAGUCUCAGAGCCUAGGACUCUGCUGAGACACGGAACUCUUUAUUGUAAGAGGCGGUGCCUUGCCCUGCUUGCUUUGCUGGCAAUAAAAAAUGUUAGCUUUUGUGCUCAGUGUCCCUCCUGGUGAAAUAAGUUGAAAGAACACACAGGGACAAUCUGGUGUAGGUCUAGAUGAGGAUCCAGAGAGGAGGAAGUGGUCCCAGCAGGACUAGCAGGCUGCGACACCCUAGCAUGGAUGUGGUCUGGGGACAAGGUUGACCUGGGUCUGAUCUAGCUCCACUGCAGCAGACCCAUGCUGCCUCUCUGGGGCCAUACGAGGGAGUCAGGGGUCCAUCCUGGGGAGUUGCUUGCCCACCCCCAGCUCCUCAGGCUUCAGCCAGCUGUUAUACCAGCUGAAGCCAACUCCUCUGGGCCAAAGACUUGGGAGGGAGUUGAAUAAUCCAGGGAGCCCUGAGUAUUCUUCCAAAGUGGCUGGCAUCCACACUCUACCAUGCAGGCUGGCAUCUUCUUUGGGUCCAGGCAUAUUUCAGUGAAGGUGAGUUCCAGGGUCUUUGGGAAUACUUCAUUUAUUUUUCUUUAAAGUUCUUUAAUUAUUUUUUUAUUUAUGUGUACAUGCUUUUUGUGUCUGUGUGUGGGUAUAUGAUGCAUGCAGGUGCUCACCACGGCCACAAGAGGGCAUCAGAUCCCCUGGAUCUGGAGUGACAGGUGGUUGUUAGCCUGGCAUAGGUCUUGGGAACAAAACCCAAGUCCUCCACGAGUGCUCCUAACCUCAGAGCCAUCUCUCCAGCCCCACUUAAGGUAACCUUUAAAUUGUGGUAAUACAUACAUAAUAUUCUUUUUGCCUUCUUAGCGUGUCAGAGAGCACCAAUCAGUGGCACCUGGCACAGGUCACUGUUGAAUAGCCUGUGUGUGUGGCAUUUCUUAUCUCAGUGACCAAACAUCUGAUAAGAGGCAACCUCGGGGAAGGAGGGGUUGUUUGGGCUAGUGGUUUCAGAGACUAUGGUUCAUGGUGGAGGGAAGGCAUGGAGCCACAGCAGGGGAAAUACGCAGCUGGACCUCACCUUGUAUCUUGGCGGAACAGUGUGGGAAGCCGUUGCAGAGUGGCAGUUACAGAGUGGCAGUUACAGAGUGGCAGUUACAGAGUGGCAGUUACA